rnacentral:rRNA from 1 species
GGGGUCAAAAUUAAUAAAAUGAAUUUAAUAAAAAAAAUUUUAAUGUUAAAAUAUUAUAAUGGGGGUUAAAGUAUUUUAAUAGAAAAAAUUUUAAAUUUUAUAGUUAAUUAGUAUUGUGAAAGAAUUUUGAAAUAGGUUGAAAAAAAAAUUAUUUAUAAGUAAAUUUGAUUUAUUGUAUCUUGUGUAUCAGAGUUUAUUAAAAAUAUUUUAUUAAGUUAAAUUUCUCGAAUUUAAAAGAGUUAAUUAAUUAAAAAAUUUAUUGUUUUAUAAAUAUUUUAAAUAGUUAAUUUGAAAUGAAAUGUUAAUCGUUUUUAAAUAUAUCUAGUUUUUUUAGAAAAAAAUUUAAUUUUUAAUAAAAUUUAAAAAUAAAUUUAUUUUUAAAUUUAUUUUUAAAUUUUAUUAAAUAUUUUAAGGGAUAAGCUUUAAAUUAAAUUUUUAUAAUUAAUUAUAUUUAAUUUUGAGAAUUUUAUAAUUUAUAUUGUUAAUAAAUUAUAAUUUAUUAUAAAUAAUUUCAUUUAAUAUUUAAAAUUUAAUUAAAAUUUAAAUUUUUAUAAAAAAAUAUUUUUUAAUGUGAAAAAUUUAGUUAUAAUGAUAAAAUUAGUAUAUAAUAUUAUUUAUUUAUUAAUUUAAUUUUAAAUUUAUAAUAAUUAUUUUAAAGGAAUUCGACAAAUAGUUAUAUUCACCUGUUUAUCAAAAACAUGUCUUUUUGUAAAUAAUUUAAAGUCUAAUCUGCCCACUGAUAUUAAUUAAAGGGCUGCAGUAUAUUGACUGUACAAAGGUAGCAUAAUCAUUAGUCUCUUAAUUGGUGACUUGUAUGAAAGAUUGGAUGAGAUAUAGAUUGUCUCUGAAAUAUAAUAUUGAAUUUAAUUUUUUAAUUAAAAAGUUAAAAUAAAUUAAAAAGACGAGAAGACCCUAUAGAGUUUUAUAUUAAUUUAAAUUAAAGUUAUGUUUAAAUUUAAUAAUUAAAAUUUAAUUAAAUAUUUUACUGGGGUGGUAAAAAAAUUUAUUUAACUUUUUUUAAAAUUUAAACAUAAAUAAGUGAAUAUAUUGAUCCAUUAUUAUUGAUUAUAAGAAAAAAUUACCUUAGGGAUAACAGCGUAAUUUUUUUUUUUAGUUCAAAUAAAAAAAAAAGUUUGCGACCUCGAUGUUGGAUUAAGAUAAAAUUUAAAUGCAAAAGUUUAAAAUUUUUGAUCUGUUCGAUCAUUAAAAUCUUACAUGAUCUGAGUUCAAACCGGUGUAAGCCAGGUUGGUUUCUAUCUUUUAAUAUUUUUUAUAUUUUAGUACGAAAGGAUCAAAUAUUUUAAUUAAAUUAAUUUUUAAUGAAUUUUAAUAAGUUAUAAUAUAUAUAUAUAUAUAUACAUGUUAAUAUAUUUAUA